rnacentral:piRNA from 1 species
CGGGAGAUCAUACAUAUCUGAAGGUGCUGU